AUUGAACGCUGGCGGCAUGCCUUACACAUGCAAGUCGAACGGCAGCACGGGGGCAACCCUGGUGGCGAGUGGCGAACGGGUGAGUAAUGCAUCGGAACGUGUCCUCUUGUGGGGGAUAACCAGUCGAAAGAUUGGCUAAUACCGCAUGAGAUCGAGAGAUGAAAGCGGGGGACCGCAAGGCCUCGCGCGAGAGGAGCGGCCGAUGCCGGAUUAGCUAGUUGGUGGGGUAAAAGCCUACCAAGGCGACGAUCCGUAGCUGGUCUGAGAGGACGACCAGCCACACUGGGACUGAGACACGGCCCAGACUCCUACGGGAGGCAGCAGUGGGGAAUUUUGGACAAUGGGCGCAAGCCUGAUCCAGCCAUGCCGCGUGUGUGAAGAAGGCCUGGUGUAAG
rnacentral:rRNA from 1 species